GCCCUAGUAGCUUAACGUUAAAGCAUCGGUCUUGUAAUCCGAAGAUUAAAGAUUAAAAUUCUUUCUAGCGCU
rnacentral:tRNA from 1 species